AUUGAACGCUGGCGGCAUGCCUUACACAUGCAAGUCGAACGGUAACAGGUCUUCGGAUGCUGACGAGUGGCGAACGGGUGAGUAAUACAUCGGAACGUGCCCGAUCGUGGGGGAUAACGAGGCGAAAGCUUUGCUAAUACCGCAUACGAUCUACGGAUGAAAGCGGGGGAUCUUCGGACCUCGCGCGGACGGAGCGGCCGAUGGCAGAUUAGGUAGUUGGUGGGAUAAAAGCUUACCAAGCCGACGAUCUGUAGCUGGUCUGAGAGGAUGAUCAGCCACACUGGGACUGAGACACGGCCCAGACUCCUACGGGAGGCAGCAGUGGGGAAUUUUGGACAAUGGGCGAAAGCCUGAUCCAGCCAUGCCGCGUGCAGGAUGAAGGCCUUUGGGUUGUAAACUGCUUUUGCACGGAACGAAAAGCCUCUUUCUAAUAAAGAGGGGUCAUGACGGUACCGUAAGAAUAAGCACCGGCUAACUACGUG
rnacentral:rRNA from 1 species